rnacentral:rRNA from 1 species
GACGAACGCUGGCGGCGUGCCUAAUACAUGCAAGUCGAACGCAGUUGCGAACGGGUGAGUAACGCGUAGGUAACUGCCUCAUAGCGGGGGAUAACUAUUGGAAACGAUAGCUAAUACCGCAUACUGUUAGAUGGACCUGCGUUGUAUUAGGUAGUUGGUCAGGUAAAGGCUCACCAAGGCGACGAUACAGAGCCGACCUGAGCGGGUGAUCGGCCACACGGGGACUGAGACACGGCCCAGACUCCUACGGGAGGCAGCAGGAGGGAAUCUUCGGCAAUGGACGGAAGUCUGACCGAGCAACGCCGCGGUAGUGAAGAAGGUUGUCGGAUCGUAAAGCUCUGUUGUUAGGGAAGCGGUAACUACCCAGAAAGGGACGGCUAACUACGUGCCAGCAGCCGCGGUAAUUC